rnacentral:lncRNA from 1 species
GCUUUCAGUCAGACCAUGCUGAUAGUAAGAGUGUGUCAGAUUAUAUUUUUAUUCUAAAUAAUGGAGCAAUCUGCUGAAAAAAUUUCAAGCAGAAUACUAUGGCAGACUCUAUUUAUGAAGCGGAGUAUAUCGCAGCAUCUGAUGCUGCGAAGGAAGCUGUAUAGUUGAGGAUGUUCAUCGAUGAUUGGAGUGGCACCCUCUAUUGAUG